AUUGAACGCUGGCGGAAUGCUUUACACAUGCAAGUCGAACGAUGAACCUUAGCUUGCUAAGGGGAUUAGUGGCGAACGGGUGAGUAAUAUAUCGGAACGUACCUUGUAAUGGGGGAUAACUAGUCGAAAGAUUAGCUAAUACUGCAUACGCCCUGAGGGGGAAAGUAGGGGAUCUUCGGACCUUACGUUAUAAGAGCGGCCGAUAUCUGAUUAGCUAGUUGGUGGGGUAAUGGCCUACCAAGGCGACGAUCAGUAGCUGGUCUGAGAGGACGACCAGCAACACUGUAACUGACACACGGUCCAGACUCCUACGGGAGGCAGCAGUGGGGAAUUUUGGCCAAUGGGCGCAAGCCUGAUCCAGCCAUUCCGCGUGAGUGAAGAAGGCCUUCGGGUUGUAAAGCUCUUUCGCAAGGGAAGAAAACUUACAUUCUAAUAAAGUGUGAGGCUGACGGUACCUUGAUAAGAAGCACCGGCUAACUACGUGCCAGCCGCCGCGGUAA
rnacentral:rRNA from 1 species